AAAGGCGAAAAGAACCCCGGCGAGGGGAGUGAAAAAGAACCUGAAACCGUGUACGUACAAGCAGUGGGAGCACGCUUAGGCGUGUGACUGCGUACCUUUUGUAUAAUGGGUCAGCGACUUAUAUUCUGUAGCAAGGUUAACCGAAUAGGGGAGCCGAAGGGAAACCGAGUCUUAACUGGGCGUUAAGUUGCAGGGUAUAGACCCGAAACCCGGUGAUCUAGCCAUGGGCAGGUUGAAGGUUGGGUAACACUAACUGGAGGACCGAACCGACUAAUGUUGAAAAAUUAGCGGAUGACUUGUGGCUGGGGGUGAAAGGCCAAUCAAACCGGGAGAUAGCUGGUUCUCCCCGAAAGCUAUUUAGGUAGCGCCUCGUGAAUUCAUCUCCGGGGGUAGAGCACUGUUUCGGCAAGGGGGUCAUCCCGACUUACCAACCCGAUGCAAACUGCGAAUACCGGAGAAUGUUAUCACGGGAGACACACGGCGGGUGCUAACGUCCGUCGUGAAGAGGGAAACAACCCAGACCGCCAGCUAAGGUCCCAAAGUCAUGGUUAAGUGGGAAACGAUGUGGGAAGGCCCAGACAGCCAGGAUGUUGGCUUAGAAGCAGCCAUCAUUUAAAGAAAGCGUAAUAGCUCACUGGUCGAGUCGGCCUGCGCGGAAGAUGUAACGGGGCUAAACCAUGCACCGAAGCUGCGGCAGCGACGCUUAUGCGUUGUUGGGUA
rnacentral:rRNA from 1 species